rnacentral:rRNA from 1 species
UACGAAGGGGGCUAGCGUUACUCGGAAUUACUGGGCGUAAAGGGCGCGUAGGCGGCGCUCCAAGUUAGGCGUGAAAGUCCUGGGCUCAACCUGGGAACUGCGCUUAAGACUGGAGUGCUUGAGGAUGGAAGAGGGUCGUGGAAUUCCCAGUGUAGAGGUGAAAUUCGUAGAUAUUGGGAAGAACACCGGUGGCGAAGGCGGCGACCUGGUCCAUUACUGACGCUGAGGCGCGAUAGCGUGGGGAGCAAACAGG